AACGAACGCUGGCGGCAUGCCUAACACAUGCAAGUCGAACGAGACCUUCGGGUCUAGUGGCGCACGGGUGCGUAACGCGUGGGAACCUGCCUUUAGGUUCGGAAUAAACUCAGAGAAAUUUGAGCUAAUACCGGAUAAUGUCUUCGGACCAAAGAUUUAUCGCCUUUAGAUGGGCCCGCGUUGGAUUAGCUAGUUGGUGGGGUAAAGGCCUACCAAGGCGACGAUCCAUAGCUGGUCUGAGAGGAUGAUCAGCCACACUGGGACUGAGACACGGCCCAGACUCCUACGGGAGGCAGCAGUGGGAAUAUUGGACAAUGGGCGAAAGCCUGAUCCAGCAAUGCCGCGUGAGUGAUGAA
rnacentral:rRNA from 1 species